UGACAGUGUCCUUAGUUGCCUGGCUCUCUGCUGCCCCUUGAAGUCAAAGGUCAGAGUAGCAGCAGUUUUCAGCUUCACAUCCUGGUACUACACAGAUACAACCUUACCAAAGCCUUGCAGAAGAUCACCAUGGGUUCUGAAGUAUCCUAAAAAGGGGCUUGAACGCCACUUCGUGUGGCUCAGUGGCAAGCUGCUCUAAGCUGCCAGUGUCCCGCAGAGAAUGAAGAUUUCAUUGGCAAAGCCAAGACAAGGAAGAGGAGACUGACAGCUGGGUGAAGGGAAAGUAACCACCAAGAAAAAAACGCCUGGAAGAGGGUGAUGACCCCCUAAGUGGGAGGUGGGCAGGGAAG
rnacentral:lncRNA from 1 species